rnacentral:lncRNA from 1 species
AUACUUUGGGUCCACAAUGAAUGCAUUUAUAUCCAUUCAUGAAAGGAAUAAUCACAUUCCUCUGUCCAAAAUGCAAAAGUUUCUAAAAGGGUCAAACAAUCGUUCUCUUAAACUUGUCGUAGUUUCAUAACCAAGACCUUGCUAAGAGGCUGACCAUGCAACUCUCCAUUGCUGCUUGAUGAUUGAUAAAUAUAACUAUGUGAGUGAGAAAUUCCAAUCGAGUAUGAGGGAUCUUAACCAAAUGAACUAUUUGAGUAAAGUCAAAAGGUUAGAACAUAUAUUCCAUACAAACCAAAUCAACCAUUCGAGUAAGUCAGAAAAUUAGAACAUGGAGAAGAAUUCUUUUUCUAUUGGGAUUUGAAAUGAUAUAACCAUGUUCAAAUGCUCCAAUCUCCACUCUAUUUGAUUCUCCAAAACCACUUUUUCGAUUGUUUCGUUCCUCUUCUAGUGAUUCAUCAGAUUCAUUGGAAAAUUGAACCAAUUCAGUCCAAGAUGGCAAAGCAUUACGGAACACAACAAAAGAAGCCAAAUCAGAAAAAUAAAAAUUAAAAGAAAAAGGAAAGAAACCAACGGCAACAAAACAAGACAAGAAAACAGAAAAACAAAAGCAAUUUGACCUAUAGGGAACACAAUAUAUGGAAUAUAUUCCCAUCUCAUUCAAUUGUGCUCUUCAAAGCUAGUGGCAUCUCCAUCUCGUCAGCUUCAGGGUAAUUGUCUUCCCCGUUAGGGUUUUGAAUAUCGCCCACGGAAUGUGAAGAAUCCUCAUUUUUCUGAGAUGGGAGGAAGAAGAGCCUCCAUGCAAGAAGAAAAAUAAAAAGCAAGAACCCUAAUCUGUGUAUCUAUCUCUCUUGUUUCUUCAAAAAUUAAGAGAAACAAUGGGGACAGAUGUGAAGAAUCCUCGUUUUGCCGCAAGCAUUUUAGAGAGAUCAGAAAAAGAAAAGCAUCCAUAUAAGAAGAAAAAUGAAAAGGGAUAACCCAGAAAAAUGAAAACGAAGAACCCUAAUUGUGUAUCUAUCUCUCUUGUUUCUUCAAAAAUUAAGAGAAACAUUGGAGACAGACCCAUUAGGGUUUUCAAGAUCGCCUAUGGAAUUUGUCCACAUGCGAAGAAUCCUCGUUCCGCCGCAAGCAUUUUAGAGAGAUCAGAUGAAGAAAAGCAUCCAUAUAAGAAGAAAAAUGAAAAGGAAGAACCCAGAAAAAUAAAAAGAAAGAACCCUAAUUGUGUAUCUAUCUCUCUUGUUUCUUCAAAAUUAAGAGAAACAUCGGAGACAGACCCAUUAGGGUUCUGAAGAUCGCCUAUGGAAUUUAUCCACAUGCGAAGAUUCCUUGUUUUGCCGCAAGCAUUUUAGAGAGAUCGGAUGAAGAAAAACAUCCAUAUAAGAAGAAAAAUAAAAAGGAAGAACCAUAAUCUGUAUAUCUAUCUCUCUUGUUUCUUCA